GAAACUCGAGUGCAUGAAGCUGGAAUCGCUAGUAAUCGCAAAUCAGAAUGUUGCGGUGAAUACGUUCCCGGGUCUUGUACACACCGCCCGUCACACCAUGGGAGUUGGAAAUGCCCGAAGUCAGUGACCCAACCAAAAGGAGGGAGCUGCCGAAGGCAGGUUCGAUGACUGGGGUGAAGUCGUAACAAGGUAAC
rnacentral:rRNA from 1 species